AUAUAUAUAAACGACGACCCAUCCCGACCAUGUGAACACUGGCAGUCGGAAAAACAACGUAACCACGAGGGCGGCCCCUGAUAUUCCCAGGUGGAAUGAAUGCAACAGGAUUUGCAGAGCAAU